rnacentral:lncRNA from 1 species
GGGUCAGUUUGCAUUAAGGAAUCACCAACUAGAACACAUGGAGAAGGAUAACCAUUGGGAGCCUUAGACUCCAGUCCCAUAGACCCAGUCAAAAGUAAAUUUGAAUUUGAACCUCAAGCCAUGGAGAAGGGUGCAGCAGUCAAGAGGGACAAAGCUAGUUUGAGUAGGUUAGGGGGGAUGUAGAUGGUAGGAUUUCCACUAGGCUGAGUGAUCGUACGUCACACAUCAAUGAGAAACCAAGGACAAGACAAAUAGGCCGAUCCAAGAGAGAGAGAGAGCACCCAGGCGAGCAGGGUGCGAGCCGGUAGGAGAGUUAUGCUGGUUCGAUGAGUUUCUAUCAGAGGAGCUAUCGUGAUAGUGGUUCAGGUCAUAUGGAUUACUACGAUAAGUAGAGCCGAAUCAAAAUUUCCAUUUGGAAUCACCUAGGUCACUAGGGUCAUUGCUGAGAGAGGAAGAUUGGUCAAGGAAUGGAUUGUAAGGGAUGGAGAAGUUUACAACA